CGUCUCGUAGCUCAGCGGUAGAGCGGACGGCUGAUAACCGUCAGGCCGGAAGUUCGAUUCUUCCCGGGACGACCA
rnacentral:tRNA from 1 species